AACGCGAAGAACCUUACCAGGGCUUGACAUCCUACUAACGAAGCAGAGAUGCAUUAGGUGCCCUUCGGGGAAAGUAGAGACAGGUGGUGCAUGGUUGUCGUCAGCUCGUGUCGUGAGAUGUUGGGUUAAGUCCCGCAACGAGCGCAACCCUUAUCGUUAGUUGCUACGCAAGAGCACUCUAGCGAGACUGCCGUUGACAAAACGGAGGAAGGUGGGGACGACGUCAAAUCAUCAUGCCCUUUAUGUCCUGGGCUACACACGUACUACAAUGGCGGUCAACAGAGGGAGGCAAACCCGCGAGGGGGAGCGAAACCCCAAAAGCCGUCUCAGUUCAGAUCGCAGGCUGAAACCCGCCUGCGUGAAGGUGGAAUUGCUAGUAAUCGCGGAUCAGCAUGCCGCGGUGAAUACGUUCCCGGGUCUUGUACACACCG
rnacentral:rRNA from 1 species